rnacentral:rRNA from 1 species
AUUGAACGCUGGCGGCAUGCCUUACACAUGCAAGUCGAACGGCAGCAUGAUCUAGCUUGCUAGAUUGAUGGCGAGUGGCGAACGGGUGAGUAAUACAUCGGAACGUGCCCUGUAGUGGGGGAUAACUAGUCGAAAGAUUAGCUAAUACCGCAUACGGCCUGAGGGUGAAAGUGGGGGACCGCAAGGCCUCAUGCUAUAGGAGCGGCCGAUGUCUGAUUAGCUAGUUGGUGAGGUAAAGGCUCACCAAGGCGACGAUCAGUAGCUGGUCUGAGAGGACGAUCAGCCACACGGGGAGUGAGACACGGCCCAGACUCCUACGGGAGGCAGCAGUGGGGAAUUUUGGACAAUGGGCGAAAGCCUGAUCCAGCAAUGCCGCGUGUGUGAAGAAGGCCUUCGGGUUGUAAAGCACUUUUGUCCGGAAAGAAAUGGCUCUGGUUAAUACCUGGGGUCGAUGACGGUACCGGAAGAAUAAGGACCGGCUAACUACGUG